AGCAGCCGCGGUAAUUCCAGCUCCAAUAGCGUAUAUUAAAGUUGUUGCAGUUAAAAAGCUCGUAGUUGAACUUCGGGAUCAAUGGAUUGGUCAUGCCGAUGGUGUGUACUGGUCAUAUUGGUUCUCACCUUCUAAGGAACCAUAAUGUCAUUUAUUUGAUGUUGUGGGGAAUUAGGACUGUUACCUUGAAAAAAUUAGAGUGUUUAAAGCAGGCUAACGCUUGAAUACAUUAGCAUGGAAUAAUGAAAUAGGACAUCGCAUUCUAUUUUGUUGGUUUCUAGGAUCGAUGUAAUGAUUAAUAGGGAUAGUUGGGGGCAUUAGUAUUCAAUUGUCAGAGGUGAAAUUCUUGGAUUUAUUGAAGACUAACUACUGCGAAAGCAUUUGCCAAGGAUGUUUUCAUUAAUCAAGAACGAAAGUUAGGGGAUCGAAGACGAUCAGAUACCGUCGUAGUCUUAACCAUAAACUAUGCCGACUAGGGAUCGGAUGAUGUUGAUUUUUUUAAUGACU
rnacentral:sRNA from 1 species